rnacentral:lncRNA from 1 species
GUCCAGGCAGAUGUCGUUAUUCACAGCAGGGUUGGGGUACUUGGGGUACCGCGCUAGGAAUUUGUGGCAUAGCAACCCCAAGCUCUUCUCCUUCCGACUCGGCUGGGAUUUCUCAAAUUCGUCUCCUGAUAAGUGUUCCUGCAGAGGGAAAGGGCAAAUUUUUGGUGAAUCUUUUGGAGAGGAAAAUAUGUUCAAAGAGAUACUGGACCACAAAAGAGAUCACAGGAUUUGCUUCAAAUCAACGGAAACGGCGAGAUCAUGAUGGCAACCUCAUGUCCCUGUCUCACUGCGAAAGAGGUCAGUACACGAAGAGAACGGAGCGCAAAGCUUGGCACGGUGUGCUCGCUCUGUAUGUUUUCCCUGCAUCCGUAUAACAUCUCUCCCGGAUGCUGUUCCUCAAUGCCAGGAAGACCUUUAACCAAGAAAUGCUCAACACUCUUGCCGUGUGGGUAAGAUGGCUUGGCAGACAGAACUCAGAACAAGGAGUCAGGAGUUCUCAUUCUGUUUCCUGUUGGCUGAUAAUGGGCUCUUGGGACCUCUUCUUCACCUGUUAAAAAUAGAAGCAACUGCGACACCCUC